UGGGGAAUUUUGGACAAUGGGCGAAAGCCUGAUCCAGCAAUGCCGCGUGCAGGAUGAAGGCCUUCGGGUUGUAAACUGCUUUUGUACGGAACGAAACGGCUCUUUCUAAUAAAGAGGGCUAAUGACGGUACCGUAAGAAUAAGCACCGGCUAACUACGUGCCAGCAGCCGCGGUAAUACGUAGGGUGCGAGCGUUAAUCGGAAUUACUGGGCGUAAAGCGUGCGCAGGCGGUUAUAUAAGACAGAUGUGAAAUCCCCGGGCUCAACCUGGGACCUGCAUUUGUGACUGUAUAGCUAGAGUACGGUAGAGGGGGAUGGAAUUCCGCGUGUAGCAGUGAAAUGCGUAGGUAUGCGGAGGAACACCGAUGGCGAAGGCAAUCCCCUGGACCUGUACUGACGCUCAUGCACGAAAGCGUGGGGAGCAAACAGGAUUAGAUACCCAAGUAGUCCCUGAGCGGGCUGGCAAGGCGCAU
rnacentral:rRNA from 1 species